rnacentral:rRNA from 1 species
UAACUUAGGGAGAAGGGGUGCCUACGAGAGUAGGCCGCAGUGAAUAGGCUCAAGCAACUGUUUAUCAAAAACACAGGUCUCUGCUAAAGCGUAAGCUGAUGUAUAGGGGCUGACGCCUGCCCGGUGCUGGAAGGUUAAGGGGAAUAGUUAGCGCAAGCGAAGCUAUGAACUUAAGCCCCAGUAAACGGCGGCCGUAACUAUAACGGUCCUAAGGUAGCGAAAUUCCUUGUCGGGUAAGUUCCGACCCGCACGAAUGGCGUAAUGAUUUGAGCACUGUCUCGGCAAUAAAUCCGGUGAAAUUGUAGUGCAAGUGAAGAUGCUUGCUACCCGCGGUUGGACGGAAAGACCCCGUAGAGCUUUACUGUAGCUUAGCAUUGAAUUUCGGUAUUGUCUGUACAGGAUAGGUGGGAGACUUAGAAGCGAGGGCGUCAGCUUUCGUGGAGUCGUCCUUGGGAUACCACCCUGACAGUACUGGAAUUCUAACUGGAGGCCAUGAAUCUGGUCACAGGACAUUGCUAGGUGGGCAGUUUGACUGGGGCGGUCGCCUCCUAAAAGGUAACGGAGGCGCCCAAAGGUUCCCUCAGCGCGGUCGGAAAUCGCGCGUAGAGUGCAAAGGCAGAAGGGAGCCUGCCUGCGACACAUACAGGUGGAGCAGGGACGAAAGUCGGGCUUAGUGAUCCGGUGGUUCUGUAUGGAAGGGCCAUCGCUCAACGGAUAAAAGCUACCUCGGGGAUAACAGGCUGAUCUCCCCCAAGAGUCCACAUCGACGGGGAGGUUUGGCACCUCGAUGUCGGCUC